AGAGAAUUUGCUGAACUAAGGAAGAUGCAGGAAGAGAGGCCUUGGUCUUGAGUGGGCAAUCAGGAAGCUGAAGACUUCUUCUACUCAUCUAUUGACAUUCAUUGGUGUGGCAUCGGCUCCUGCAAAGACCUCAUAAACUGGUUUUAGGCCAACAGGAGACAAAGUUCCCCUUACUAAAAGGGUACAACCCUUGGUUUUCACAGGGAUCAGUUCUUUGCUCUUUGAAACGAGAUGAUCCAUCUCACACUGAAAGUUUCCUAUCGUGAGGUUCAGUGUCAUCUAGAGUCAACGGAUGAAGUAUAAGUGUUCACUGUGGAAUUUCUACAACACAAAAAGAAGAGGCUGGAUAAAGAAGAUAAACUGAAUAUUGAAACUGUUCCUUUUCCAUUAAAAAAUAGCAAAAAACGUUUUCCCUGUAA
rnacentral:lncRNA from 1 species